rnacentral:rRNA from 1 species
CGUACACUCCUACGGGAGGCAGCAGUGAGGAAUAUUGGACAAUGGGUGGAAGCCUGAUCCAGCCAUCCCGCGUGCAGGAAGACGGCCCUAUGGGUUGUAAACUGCUUUUAUCUGGGGAUAAACCUACUUACGUGUAAGUAGCUGAAGGUACCAGAAGAAUAAGCACCGGCUAACUCCGUGCCAGCAGCCGCGGUAAUACGGAGGGUGCAAGCGUUAUCCGGAUUUAUUGGGUUUAAAGGGUCCGUAGGCGGACUGAUAAGUCAGUGGUGAAAUCCGACAGCUUAACUGUCGAACUGCCAUUGAUACUGUUAGUCUUGAGUAAGGUUGAAGUGGCUGGAAUAAGUAGUGUAGCGGUGAAAUGCAUAGAUAUUACUUAGAACACCAAUUGCGAAGGCAGGUCACUAAGUCUUAACUGACGCUGAUGGACGAAAGCGUGGGGAGCGAACAGGAUUAGAAACCCUUGUAGUCCC